rnacentral:rRNA from 1 species
GACGUAGGGCGCGAGCGUUGUCCGGAUUUAUUGGGCGUAAAGAGCUCGUAGGCGGUUUGUCGCGUCGUCCGUGAAAACUCACAGCUUAACUGUGAGCUUGCGGUCGAUACGGGCAGGCUAGAGUUCGGUAGGGGAGACUGGAAUUCCUGGUGUAGCGGUGAAAUUCGCAGAUAUCAGGAGGAACACCGGUGGCGAAGGCGGGUCUCUGGGCCGAUACUGACGCUGAGGAGCGAAAGCGUGGGGAGCGAACAGG